rnacentral:guide_RNA from 1 species
AUAAAACCAUAAUCACAUAUAUAGAUUGUAUUA